rnacentral:tRNA from 1 species
GAAGGAUUAGUUAAAUAAAAUAACAUCAGAAUGUCAAACUGAAAUAACCAGAAGGUAUCCUUCU